rnacentral:rRNA from 1 species
GUUUGAUCAUGGCUCAGAACGAACGCUGGCGGCAUGCCUAACACAUGCAAGUCGAACGAGACCUUCGGGUCUAGUGGCGCACGGGUGCGUAACGCGUGGGAAUCUGCCCUUGGGUUCGGAAUAACUCAGAGAAAUUUGAGCUAAUACCGGAUGAUGACGAAAGUCCAAAGAUUUAUCGCCCAGGGAUGAGCCCGCGUAAGAUUAGCUUGUUGGUGGGGUAAUGGCCUACCAAGGCGACGAUCUUUAGCUGGUCUGAGAGGAUGAUCAGCCACACUGGGACUGAGACACGGCCCAGACUCCUACGGGAGGCAGCAGUGGGGAAUAUUGGACAAUGGGCGCAAGCCUGAUCCAGCAAUGCCGCGUGAGUGAUGAAGGCCUUAGGGUUGUAAAGCUCUUUUACCAGGGAUGAUAAUGACAGUACCUGGAGAAUAAGCUCCGGCUAACUCCGUG